GACCCCGUAGCUCAGUGGGAGAGCGCCCGAUUGUCGGUCGGGGGUUGCCGGUUCGAUUCCGGCCGGGGUCG
rnacentral:tRNA from 1 species